rnacentral:rRNA from 1 species
AGAGUUUGAUCAUGGCUCAGAUUGAACGCUGGCGGUAUGCUUAACACAUGCAAGUCGAACGGUAACAGGCCUUCGGGCGCUGACGAGUGGCGGACGGGUGAGUAACGCGUAGGAAUCUGCCUCAUAGUGGGGGACAACGUGGGGAAACUCACGCUAAUACCGCAUACGCCCUACGGGGGAAAGCGGGGGAUCUUCGGACCUCGCGCUAUGAGAUGAGCCUGCGUUAGAUUAGCUAGUUGGUAGGGUAAAGGCCUACCAAGGCGACGAUCUAUAGCUGGUCUGAGAGGACGAUCAGCCACACUGGGACUGAGACACGGCCCAGACUCCUACGGGAGGCAGCAGUGGGGAAUAUUAGACAAUGGGCGCAAGCCUGAUCCAGCAAUACCGCGUGUGUGAAGAAGGCCUUAGGGUUGCAAAGCACUUUCAAUUGGGAGGAAAACCUGCCGGUCAAUACCCGGCAGCUUGACAUUACCUUUAGAAGAAGCACCGGCUAACUCCGUG